rnacentral:rRNA from 1 species
AGAGUUUCCUCAUGGCUCAGAAUGAACGCUGGCGGCGUGCUUAACACAUGCAAGUCGAGCGAGAAAACCGACUUCGGUCGGUGAGUAAAGCGGCGAACGGGUGAGUAACACGUGGGUAACCUGCCUGGAAGUGGGGGAUAACCUGGGGAAACCCGGGCUAACACCGCAUACUUUCGCUGCGCUACGGCGCGGUGAGGAAAGCUGGCCUAUGCUUGCAAGCCAGUGCUUUCAGAUGGGCCCGCGGACGAUUAGCUUGUUGGUGAGGUAACGGCUCACCAAGGCGACGAUCGAUAGCCGGCCUGAGAGGGCGAUCGGCCACACUGGGACUGAGACACGGCCCAGACUCCUACGGGAGGCAGCAGUGGGGAAUAUUGGACAAUGGGCGAAAGCCUGAUCCAGCAACGCCGCGUGGAGGACGAAGGCUUUCGGGUCGUAAACUCCUGUCAGGUGGGAAGAAAUAUCAACGGUCAAUAUCCGUUGAUUCUGACGGUACCACCAGAGGAAGCCCCGGCUAACUCCGUGCCAGCAGCCGCGGUAAUACGGGGGGGGCAAGCGUUAUUCGGAAUUAUUGGGCGUAAAGGGCGCGUAGGCGGCCUGACAGGUCAAAGGUGAAAUCCCUCGGCUCAACCGAGGAACUGCCUUUGAAACCGCCAGGCUAAAGGCUGGGAGAGGGUGGCGGAAUC